rnacentral:rRNA from 1 species
UACGUAGGGGGCAAGCGUUGUUCGGAAUUACUGGGCGUAAAGGGCGCGUAGGCGGCAUGGCAAGUCGGGAGUGAAAGGCCUGGGCUCAACCGAGGAACUGCUUUCGAGACUGCCAAGCUAGAGUGCGGAAGGGGCAUCUGGAAUUCCCAGUGUAGCGGUGAAAUGCGUAGAUAUUGGGAAGAACACCAGUGGCGAAGGCGGCUAACUGGUCCAGAUCUGACGCUGAGGUGCGAAAGCGUGGGGAGCAAACAGG